CAGCGCCGCGGGAACACGUAGGUGGCAAGCGUUGUCCGGAAUUAUUGGGCGUAAAGGGUGCGUAGGCGGUUUGAUAAGUCUUAUGUGAAAUCUAUGGGCUCAACCCAUAGUCUGCAUAGGAAACUGUCGGGCUUGAGAGUGGGAGAGGUUAGUGGAAUUUCCGGUGUAGCGGUGAAAUGCGUAGAUAUCGGAAGGAACACCUGUGGCGAAAGCGGCUCACUGGACCAUUUCUGACGCUGAUGCACGAAAGCUAGGGGAGCAAACAGGUUUAGAUACCCCCGUAGUCCCUGUCUCUUAUACA
rnacentral:rRNA from 1 species